GCGCUCGUGGCUUAACGGAUAGAGCAGCUGACUACGGAUCAGCAGGUUGGGGGUUCGAAUCCCUCCGAGCGCGCCA
rnacentral:tRNA from 1 species